UACGAGGGGAGCAAGCGUUGUUCGGAUUUACUGGGCGUAAAGGGCGCGUAGGCGGCGUGACAAGUCACUUGUGAAAUCUCCGGGCUUAACCCAGAAAGGUCAACUGAUACUGCGGGGCUAGAGUGCAGAAGGGGCAACUGGAAUUCUCGGUGUAGCGGUGAAAUGCGUAGAUAUCGAGAGGAACACCUGCGGCGAAGGCGGGUUGCUGGGCUGACACUGACGCUGAUGCGCGAAAGCCAGGGGAGCGAACGGG
rnacentral:rRNA from 1 species